UUAUAGUUAUGAUCUUAAAACUUAAAGAAUUUGGCGGUAUUAUAGUCUAUUUAGAGGAAUCUGUUAUGUAAUCGAUAGUCCACGUUGAACCUUACUUAUAUUAAUUCUUGUAUACCGUUGUUUAAGAAUAUAUUUUUAGGUAAAUUUUCUUAAUAUAUAAAUAUGUAAAAUUUCAAAUCAAGGUGCAGUGAUAUUUAAGUUGAAUAAUGGAUUACAAUAAAUUGUAUUUAUAUGGAUAAUUAUUGGAAUAAUAAUUUGAAAGCGGAUUUAAUAGUAAUUUUAUAAAGAUUAAUAAAUUGAUUUUAAGCUCUAUAAUAUGUACACAUCGC
rnacentral:rRNA from 1 species